AUGGGUGUAACAUCAUCAACCUUUGUGCUAAGCAUUUGCUAAAGUUUCAAUUCUAAACAUGAACGUAGAUAGCCAUGUUGCUCGGGUAAGGGAAAAGUGUCCAUGUUGUUAGAAGAAUAGAAGAGCUUGAAACCCGUAUUCCAAGAACGAAAUUCAGCAAGAGUGCAAGAAGAAAGCAACCUAUCUGGUUUAAAGGCAAGAUUGAUCUUGGAGGAGGAUGUUGAAGGAGACAAGAGCGGUGAUGAGGAUGGAACGGUGGAGCUUCUCGAUUGAGUCCGAAUUUGAGAUGACGUGUUCAAAAUCCUUUGACGAAGUUUGCUUAUAUUACCGGAAAAUUGAUCAAGCAUGGAUACUUCCUUGGUAAUUGAAUCCGCAUCGGUGAUGGAGCUGGAUGAAUCCAAAAAUUCUUCCAAGGAAUUGAAAGAAGAUUCCACCUUGGUGAAUAGCCCAUCAAUCCGGUCUACCAUUGACAUCUCCAACCCGGAGGGGUCAAUCGAUUCAACAUCGGAAAGUUGUGGCACGUGGUUGAAUGGGCCAACUGGUGAGAUUUCCUCGAGGAAGAAUCCAGCCGUAAUAGUGAGGGAAAUGGUCCUGAUGCGGCAGGAAAAAUCCAGAUGGGUGAUGGGUAUCCAAAGUAUGUGGUGGAGUACCAAAAACGCAGAUGAUUCCACUACGACCGCGCCAUAUUAGGAUAUUAAGUGCGGAGCCGUGUAAUUCAUGUAAGAGAUUUAUUCAGACUGUGGUCGGAGAGAAUCAACUACGUGGAAGAAGGAACCGGUUCUAUAGGAAAUGGUCCUUUGCAAGGCUACUGGAAUCUUGGCCAUUUCUACCAGAAACUAGGGACCCUGGAUUCAGAGACGCGCAAUGUUUGACAAGUGGCUCCACUUCAAAAUUGAAGAACUAAAAAGUUUCCAAACAGAUUUUGAACUGAUGUGCUGUUUAAGGAAGAGUUCUAUCAUGACAAGGAUUGUUGAAUAUUUUCUUCAAGGACCCUGCCAAAUUUUACUUGAAGGCAAGCUGAUUCAUGGA